CAGCAGCAGAAUAAUACCGCGGCGUGUGGUGUGCGCCCAGCGAGGACGCCGCAUUCUACACACAAGGAAUACUGCCAACUACAUCAGGACCAUUCUAAGAGAUAGUGACCAGGCUGUACUGACACGGAUUGUUAACGGACUUCAAUCUCUGAUUUCUUCAGUCCUCUUGAGAUAUAAGUUUCUUUGGUAACACACCGCCAACAUUGAGCCACCUGUUUCCUGACAUACUGCUAUGGCUGCACAAGUAAGG